CAACCUGCCGAUGACUCGGGGAUAGCCUUUCGAAAGAAAGAUUAAUACCCGAUGGCAUAGUUCUUCCGCAUGGUAGAACUAUUAAAGAAUUUCGGUCAUCGAUGGGGAUGCGUUCCAUUAGGUUGUUGGCGGGGUAACGGCCCACCAAGCCUUCGAUGGAUAGGGGUUCUGAGAGGAAGGUCCCCCACAUUGGAACUGAGACACGGUCCAAACUCCUACGGGAGGCAGCAGUGAGGAAUAUUGGUCAAUGGGCGAGAGCCUGAACCAGCCAAGUAGCGUGAAGGAUGACUGCCCUAUGGGUUGUAAACUUCUUUUAUAAAGGAAUAAAGUCGGGUAUGGAUACCCGUUUGCAUGUACUUUAUGAAUAAGGAUCGGCUAACUCCGUGCCAGCAGCCGCGGUAAUACGGAGGAUCCGAGCGUUAUCCGGAUUUAUUGGGUUUAAAGGGAGCGUAGAUGGAUGUUUAAGUCAGUUGUGAAAGUUUGCGGCUCAACCGUAAAAUUGCAGUUGAUACUGGAUAUCUUGAGUGCGGUUGAGGCAGGCGGAAUUCGUGGUGUAGCGGUGAAAUGCUUAGAUAUCACGAAGAACUCCGAUUG
rnacentral:rRNA from 1 species